rnacentral:rRNA from 1 species
AUUUCUUCGGAUUGAAGUUUUGAUGACUUAGCGGCGGACGGGUGAGUAACGCGUGGGUGACCUGCCUCAUACAGGGGGAUAACAGACAGAAAUGUCUGCUAAUACCGCAUAAGCGCACAGUGCUGCAUGGCACAGUGUGAAAAACUCCGGUGGUAUGAGAUGGACCCGCGUCUGAUUAGCUAGUUGGUAAGGUAACGGCUUACCAAGGCGACGAUCAGUAGCCGGCCUGAGAGGGUGAACGGCCACAUUGGGACUGAGACACGGCCCAAACUCCUACGGGAGGCAGCAGUGGGGAAUAUUGCACAAUGGGGGAAACCCUGAUGCAGCGACGCCGCGUGAAGGAAGAAGUAUUUCGGUAUGUAAACUUCUAUCAGCAGGGAAGAAAAUGACGGUACCUGACUAAGAAGCCCCGGCUAACUACGUGCCAGCAGCCGCGGUAAUACGUAGGGGGCAAGCGUUAUCCGGAUUUACUGGGUGUAAAGGGCGCGCAGGCGGGCUUGCAAGUUGGGAGUGAAAUCCCGGGGCUCAACCCCGGAACUGCUUUCAAAACUGUGAGUCUUGAGUGAUGGAGAGGCAGGCGGAAUUCCCAGUGUAGCGGUGAAAUGCGUAGAUAUUGGGAGGAACACCAGUGGCGAAGGCGGCCUGCUGGACAUUAACUGACGCUGAGGCGCGAAAGCGUGGGGAGCAAACAGGAUUAGAUACCCUGGUAGUCCACGCCGUAAACGAUGGAUACUAGGUGUGGGGGGUAUUGACCCCCUCCGUGCCGCAGUUAACACAAUAAGUAUCCCACCUGGGGAGUACGGCCGCAAGGUGAAACUCAAAGGAAUUGACGG